UAUAUUAUUAAUAUUGUUCUUUUCAGUAUCCUGCCACACUCUUGCUCACAGCAGAUCAUGAUGACAGAGUAGUUCCCCUACACUCUUUUAAGCUAAUUGCUGAGAUGCAGCAUAAGCUUGCCCAGAUCCCAGCUCAAACCAAUCCUUUACAUAUUCGUAUUGAGACAAAGGCAGGCCAUGGCAGAGGAAAACCAACAGCAAAAAUUAUUGAGGAGCAUACAGACAUCUACUGUUUCAUAAUGCAGUCCCUUGGUCUGGAAGUUACAUCGACUCCAUCUGCAAGCCUUUGAGGUUUCAGUCAAUACUACCAUAUCAAGAAGACAAAAACAAAAGGAGAAAUAUUGUGUGCUUUGUACAGAUAAUGAGACCAGAAAUUGUGUUAGUAAUAAUACCAAAGACUGUUUUAGGUUCCAGUAGAUAGUCUUUAAUUAUCUCUUCAAGCAUUUAUUGAUGUUAUAUUUUGGUAUAUAAGACAAUUUAGUCAGAAAUGGAUAAAAGUGAAAACUUAACACCUUGAUAAACAGAUAGAACUUUCAUGAACAGUUUUGUAUGAAUACAAUUCACAAAAGACAAUAAAGAAGAAAUCUUUAACUUU
rnacentral:lncRNA from 1 species